UGUGUGAGGUGUUCUGGAUAUGGUGAAAUGUGUAUAGAGGUUGUGUGUGGUCAAUAAGGGAUCGAUCACUCCUAAUAAGAAGAGCGAACAUUCUAUGUAAUCUCACAGGAUGAUGUUUCAGAAAGUCUUUGAUCAAAGUAAGAUGAUAAUUAGAAAGAAGUUUCUAAUAUAUCAUCAAUUGAAUCAUAACUUUUUGAUCGAGAU
rnacentral:lncRNA from 1 species